UAUAAGUAAAUUUAAAGAACUUGGGAUAGAGCAAGCCAACUGCAUCAGAAGAUGGUUAUAAUUGGUCUCAAACACUUCUAGCAGUGGGAUUGUAGCAUUGACAUUGAUGAAUGGUUUGAUAAAGUCCCUGAACCUGUCAUCUUAGCUGUGAAUUUGUGGUACAGAGGGGAAAAUGGAGGUGGAGGGAGGCAAAAAUCAUGAAAAUAGCGCUGAAGUCUAAAAUCCACUUGGCAUAAGACAUAGGGAAAGAACCCCCAGGGAUGCUCUACCUCCAGGGAAAAGAAGAUCCAGUUUAACCAAUCCCUCUUCUGGGGUGAAUUUUUGUAAUCUGGCACUUAUGAAUAAAAUAUUAA